CACUAUGCCUAGCCCUAAACAUUGACAGUUAAUUACACCCACUGUCCGCCUGGGAACUACGAGCACCAGCUUAAAACCCAAAGGACUUGGCGGUGCUUUAGACCCACCUAGAGGAGCCUGUUCUAGAACCGAUAAUCCCCGUUAAACCUCACCCUUCCUUGUCAUUUCCGCCUAUAUACCACCGUCGUCAGCUUACCCUGUGAAGGUCCCAUAGUAAGCGCAAUCGGUAAUACCCAAAACGUCAGGUCGAGGUGUAGCGAAUGGAAGGGGAAGAAAUGGGCUACAUUUACUGGCACAGUAAAUACGGAUGAUUACCCUGCAACGAGUAUCUGAAGGAGGAUUUAGCAGUAAGCAAAAAGCAGAGUGUUUUGCUGAAAUUGGCCCUGAAGCGUGCACACACCGCCCGUCACUCUCCCCGAACUAAGAUUUUAAACAUAAUUAAUAUACUAUAACUGUAAAGGGGAGGCAAGUCGUAA
rnacentral:rRNA from 1 species